rnacentral:lncRNA from 1 species
UGGAAUCCAUAAACUCACCAAAAAGGGAACAUUUUUUCCCAGAGACCCUCCCCCUUUCUUAUCACAGGAAGAAAGGAUAACGUUGAAGUCUCCAAUAGACAACCAUGGAGUCCCGUCCAACGGGAUUACACAUUUUAGGGCUUCCCAUAAAUACUUUCGUUUUUGUCUGUCCGGACUCCUAUAAACAAAUGUAACAAGAAAAUGUCACCUAUGUGGAGUUUCAGAAACUCUAAGUAAAAUGAACUGAGGAUAAUUUUUUAAAAUUUCUACAUCCCUCCACCCAAUCCAAAUACCAUUAGAGAAACUCACCGCCUCCACACGAUGGGAAAAAUUAAAACCAAGGUUAGUAAUAACCGAAUCGACUUUGAAACCACUUACCCUUGUUUCUAAAAGGCCAAUCAUAAUUGGCUUAUGCUCCCUAUUAUACUCAUAGAAAAUACAAGGAAACUUCAAACUAGCACAACUUUAACAAUUCCAACAAAAAAUGUUAAAAUUCAUAAAAGACAAAAACAAGGGGCAAUCGUUAAUGUGCGGAAGAGGGAUCACCACCACCACUUCGU